rnacentral:lncRNA from 1 species
CUUGAUUUCAAAUGAUUUAAAAAUCUAUUUUUGAAAUGAUUAAUGUAUAUUUGAUUUUGUAAUCUAACUUUGUAAACUCCCUUUGUCAUCGUAGCAUAGCUAUUAGUUCCUAACUAAUGCCCCCAGGGCACAUCUCCAAGUGGUAAAAGGAGAGAGUGGAGAAAUCCAGCUUUGUUUGAGGCUGCUGCGUCAAGAGUUCGAAUCCUGAAAUAUGGAUUUGGCUCUUGGGUAAGUGCAAGUGUACAAGCAGCCUUCCACCCUAUACCCUUGGAGUCAUAACCUGCGAUUUACCUCCCUCACGAUACUCCAAGAUAGGGGUGAUGGGGACCCUUAAGAUUAGGGUUUAACCUUUUUUUAUUUUAGUUCCUAACUAACCCUUCUCGUGUCUAUUCUCUGGACUCAGAUUCUUACAAAAUCACAGAUUGUCACGUGACAUUACCAGAUAUAUUUGAAACAAAUGAAAAUUAAUAAUUAAUAAUUAUUCUCUUAAAAAAAAAGGCCAAUUAAAACCAAUAUUUCCCAAUUUAACAAAGUCAGUAAAAAAAAAAAAAAGUGAGGCUCAGAUCUGUUUUUGAGUCGGGCAAGAGGCCGAUCACGCCAUGGCUGCAAAAUCACCGGCUGCAUAAGAGAAAGAAGGACAAAACCCGACUCAGAUACCACCCGGGUUGCCCCGCCAAGAUACGGAUCAUCUCACUGCCUGAUUCAUCAGCUCAGAGGAACAAAGACAAAUAUCAUCACAGCCUCUUAAAAGCUUACUUAUUUUUACUUACAAGUAAAUAAUUUAAGCUUAGCCAAACAUACACUUAAGAUUAGCAAUACGAUGGUCCAUUAUAAACAACAGUAGAAGAAACUGCAGCGCCAACAGGAUAUAUAUAUAUAACCAGAGAACAAGAAGAGAAGAAGAAGAAGCUGCAGAUCCGGGCGAAGGUAUUCAUAGAUCCACUGGAAUUCAUGCUAUAUAUCCAUCUCUCUCUGUAUACGUAUGUAUCGGAUGUAACAUACAAACAAACACACACACAAGGGUUGUUGAUUUGGAAGAUAAAGGAUGAAAUCAUUGAGUAAAAGGGAGAGGCAACCACCCUGAGAAAUUCCAAUCUCCCUUCACCCUCAAUCGUUCCGUCUGAGCUUAACCCUAAUUGAACGGUGAAGAUUGUUAUUUAUAUAGCCUCUUCGAUUUCCAUUUUUAUCCUCAUUCGACUCUCUUAUUAACGGUUGUGGCUUCUUGUCGUUACAGGGAACUAUUAUUAUUAUUAUUAUUAUUUUUUUUUAACGA